rnacentral:rRNA from 1 species
GAUGAACGCUGGCGGCGUGCCUAAUACAUGCAAGUCGAGCGAACGGACGAGAAGCUUGCUUCUCUGAUGUUAGCGGCGGACGGGUGAGUAACACGUGGAUAACCUACCUAUAAGACUGGGAUAACUUCGGGAAACCGUAGCUAAUACCGGAUAAUAUUUUGAACCGCAUGGUUCAAAAGUGAAAGACGGUCUUGCUGUCACUUAUAGAUGGAUCCGCGCUGCAUUAGCUAGUUGGUAAGGUAACGGCUUACCAAGGCAACGAUGCAUAGCCGACCUGAGAGGGUGAUCGGCCACACGGGAAGUGAGACACGGUCCAGACUCCUACGGGAGGCAGCAGUAGGGAAUCUUCCGCAAUGGGCGAAAGCCUGACGGAGCAACGCCGCGUGAGGGAUGAAGGUCUUCGGAUCGUAAAACUCUGUUAUUAGGGAAGAACAUAUGUGUAAGUAACUGUGCACAUCUUGACGGUACCUAAUCAGAAAGCCACGGCUAACUACGUG